UACGAAGGGGGCUAGCGUUGCUCGGAAUCACUGGGCGUAAAGCGCACGUAGGCGGCUUGUUAAGUCAGGGGUGAAAUCCUGGAGCUCAACUCCAGAACUGCCUUUGAUACUGGCAAGCUUGGAGUCCGGGAGAGGUGAGUGGAACUGCGAGUGUAGAGGUGAAAUUCGUAGAUAUCGAGAGGAACACCGGCGGCGAAGGCGGCCAACUGGACGAACACUGACGCUGAGACACGAAAGCGUGGGGAGCAAACAGG
rnacentral:rRNA from 1 species